UACGAAGGGGGCUAGCGUUGCUCGGAUUGACUGGGCGUAAAGGGCGCGUAGGCGGUUUGCAUAGUCAGACGUGAAAUUCCUGGGCUUAACCUGGGGGCUGCGUUUGAUACAUGCAGGCUUGAGUUCGGAAGAGGGUCGUGGAAUUCCCAGUGUAGAGGUGAAAUGCGUAGAGAUCGGGAGGAACACCCGUGGCGAAGGCGGCCACCUGGGCCGACCCUGACGCUGAGGCGCGAAGGCGUGGGGAGCGAACGGG
rnacentral:rRNA from 1 species